rnacentral:rRNA from 1 species
AUGAACGCUAGCUACAGGCUUAACACAUGCAAGUCGAGGGGCAGCAUGGUCUUAGCUUGCUAAGGCCGAUGGCGACCGGCGCACGGGUGAGUAACACGUAUCCAACCUGCCGUCUACUCUUGGACAGCCUUCUGAAAGGAAGAUUAAUACAAGAUGGCAUCAUGAGUCCGCAUGUUCACAUGAUUAAAGGUAUUCCGGUAGACGAUGGGGAUGCGUUCCAUUAGAUAGUAGGCGGGGUAACGGCCCACCUAGUCUUCGAUGGAUAGGGGUUCUGAGAGGAAGGUCCCCCACAUUGGAACUGAGACACGGUCCAAACUCCUACGGGAGGCAGCAGUGAGGAAUAUUGGUCAAUGGGCGAGAGCCUGAACCAGCCAAGUAGCGUGAAGGAUGACUGCCCUAUGGGUUGUAAACUUCUUUUAUAAAGGAAUAAAGUCGGGUAUGGAUACCCGUUUGCAUGUACUUUAUGAAUAAGGAUCGGCUAACUCCGUGCCAGCAGCCGCGGUAAUACGGAGGAUCCGAGCGUUAUCCGGAUUUAUUGGGUUUAAAGGGAGCGUAGAUGGAUGUUUAAGUCAGUUGUGAAAGUUUGCGGCUCAACCGUAAAAUUGCAGUUGAUACUGGAUAUCUUGAGUGCAGUUGAGGCAGGCGGAAUUCGUGGUGUAGCGGUGAAAUGCUUAGAUAUCACGAAGAACUCCGAUUGCGAAGGCAGCCUGCUAAGCUGCAACUGACAUUGAGGCUCGAAAGUGUGGGUAUCAAACAGGAUUAGAUACCCUGGUAGUCCACACGGUAAACGAUGAAUACUCGCUGUUUGCGAUAUACUGCAAGCGGCCAAGCGAAAGCGUUAAGUAUUCCACCUGGGGAGUACGCCGGCAACGGUGAAACUCAAAGGAAUUGACGGGGGCCCGCACAAGCGGAGGAACAUGUGGUUUAAUUCGAUGAUACGCGAGGAACCUUACCCGGGCUUAAAUUGCAGAUGAAUUACGGUGAAAGCCGUAAGCCGCAAGGCAUCUGUGAAGGUGCUGCAUGGUUGUCGUCAGCUCGUGCCGUGAGGUGUCGGCUUAAGUGCCAUAACGAGCGCAACCCUUGUUGUCAGUUACUAACAGGUUCCGCUGAGGACUCUGACAAGACUGCCAUCGUAAGAUGUGAGGAAGGUGGGGAUGACGUCAAAUCAGCACGGCCCUUACGUCCGGGGCUACACACGUGUUACAAUGGGGGGUACAGAGGGCCGCUACCACGCGAGUGGAUGCCAAUCCCAAAAACCUCUCUCAGUUCGGACUGGAGUCUGCAACCCGACUCCACGAAGCUGGAUUCGCUAGUAAUCGCGCAUCAGCCAUGGCGCGGUGAAUACGUUCCCGGGCCUUGUACACACCGCCCGUCAAGCCAUGGAAGCUGGGGGUGCCUGAAGUUCGUGACCGCAAGGAGCGACCUAGGGCAAAACCGGUAACUGGGGCU